rnacentral:lncRNA from 1 species
GUCUGUUUUACCCUGGUAGAUUAGCUGAGGUGGCAAUAAGGACCAAUUCAUAGAUGUUGCUAGAAGAAGUGUAAUUUGACGUUUGUCAUCAAUACCGGUGAAUACGGUACCUGUUGGGAGCCUUGUUGCUCCAUUGUCCAGUCGCCGCCCGGUAUCAGCUGACACCCGGUCUGGUCCCAGUUAAUCACAAGAUAGUCAGGAAUGCUG